AACGAACGCUGGCGGCAGGCCUAACACAUGCAAGUCGAGCGCGCCCUUCGGGGUGAGCAGCGGACGGGUGAGUAACGCGUGGGAACGUGCCCUUUUCUACGGAAUAGCCUCGGGAAACUGAGAGUAAUACCGUAUACGCCCUUUGGGGAAAGAUUUAUCGGAAAAGGAUCGGCCCGCGUUGGAUUAGGUAGUUGGUGGGGUAAUGGCCUACCAAGCCGACGAUCCAUAGCUGGUUUGAGAGGAUGAUCAGCCACACUGGGACUGAGACACGGCCCAGACUCCUACGGGAGGCAGCAGUGGGGAAUCUUAGACAAUGGGGGCAACCCUGAUCUAGCCAUGCCGCGUGAGUGAUGAAGGCCUUAGGGUUGUAAAGCUCUUUCAGCUGGGAAGAUAAUGACGGUACCAGCAGAAGAAGCCCCGGCUAACUCCGUG
rnacentral:rRNA from 1 species